UGUGUGGUACUUUAUGCAUCUGUGUGGUGCAAGCCCCCGGCGCGCAAAUCCCGUCCUCUCUGGGGAUGUGGUUCCUCCGGAGCAGAGACAUGUAGGUGAGGGGCCCUACACGCGCCGCCGUUGACAUUACUUGGUGUUCUCACACCAAAUCAUUGGGAUGCUGACUACUAGCGCGCUAGUCGGGCGUCCAGGGGAGCCUCUACUCGUUUCAGGUGGGAAUGUACAUUUCUGAAGAUUAUGGUUUGUUAAAUAUAUAUCUGAUAUGGAAAGAUGGGCUUUUUAUUAAAGGUCUGCAUGGGGGAUGCAAUUCCCCCGGUAAGUUACUAUUUACCUCCUCUUCUUUAUGCAAAACAGUAACUUCGGUAUUUGUUUCAUGUUAUUGCGAUGUGUCUGCCUGCUAUAUGCCGUCUCGGACUGCUAUGCGAUGACCCGCUUGCUUAAGGGGAGAACACCUGGGUGCUAUAUCAUAGGACAUAUACGUCACAUCAGUCCUUUUUCACUCCAACGUGUAAUGGUACCUAUACUUAACGGAAACAUAAUAAAUGUGCCUUUUUUCCAAUGGAAUCAGAGGCAGUGUGAUGCUGUUGCUAAAGGAAGGAUUUAUGACAAUGAAUUGAUUGGCUAACAAAUACGAGGCAGUGUAGGUUAAUUGCAGUACUAAUGAAGCAACCAACAUCUACAGUGGGACCGUUUUUCAGGGACAACUUUCUUGAAUUACUGUUGACGUCUUUCCUGUACAGCAUUAUGCAGUUAAUUGCCGACAACCAAAAAAAUGAGAAGAACUGAAAAUUUGUUUAGACCUUUCUCAAACAACCAUUUAUCUACCACGGUAUCGCUCUUCCCGGAUUCUCUUUGCUUUUCACAUUUGUAAACUUUGGAGUAACAUUCUGCAAAUAAUUAAGUCAUGGUCAAAGACUUCUUCAGGGCUGAAAACAUCACAGAAUAUAUACAAGAAACCAAUGAUAAAAAAGGACAUUUCUAAUAUUAUACGUACAGUUAUAGAAAAUAAUUUUUUGUAGGUGUUGAAGUCCUUUACUUUCACC